rnacentral:lncRNA from 1 species
AAUCAUUAAAUCUAGGAGUAGUGUUCUGGGUCUGUAAUAGUUUAUAGGCACUUCUUACCGAGAACAUACCCGAGGGCUCAUCGUGCCAUAUUACCAUGUCAGCAUGUUCAUCCCUCGCAAAUGGAACCUGUAAGAUUCUGUCCGCAUCAUUCAUCUCGAAGGUAUUGCAAAUAAGCUCCUCCUCCAUACUCUAUUAGCAC